UACGUAGGCAGCAAGCGUUGUUCGGAGUUACUGGGCGUAAAGGGUGUGUAGGCGGCUUUUUAAGUUUGGUGUGAAAUCUCCCGGCUUAACUGGGAGGGUGCGCCGAAUACUGAAAGGCUAGAGUGCGGGAGAGGAAAGUGGAAUUCCUGGUGUAGCGGUGAAAUGCGUAGAUAUCAGGAGGAACACCGGUGGUGUAGACGGCUUUCUGGACCGUAACUGACGCUGAGACACGAAAGCGUGGGUAGCAAACAGG
rnacentral:rRNA from 1 species